UCCCUCGUAGCUCAGUUGGUAAAGAAUCUGCCUGCAAUUCAGGAGACCUAGGUUCAAUUCCUGGGUUGGGAA
rnacentral:tRNA from 1 species